rnacentral:rRNA from 1 species
AACGGAGGGGGCGAGCGUUGCCCGGAUUUACUGGGCUUAAAGGGUCCGUAGGCGGUGUCCUAAGUCCCCCGUGAAAGCUGCCCGCUCAACGGGCAGAGGUCGGGGGAGACUGGGACACUUGAGGGCGGGAGAGGCCGGCGGAACGGCGGGUGUAGCGGUGAAAUGCGUCGAUAUCCGCCGGAACACCAGUGGCGAAGGCGGCCGGCUGGAACGCCCCUGACACUGAGGGACGAAGGCCGGGGGAGCGAACCGG